GAUGAACGCUGGCGGCGUGCCUAAUACAUGCAAGUCGAGCGAACAGACGAGGAGCUUGCUCCUCUGACGUUAGCGGCGGACGGGUGAGUAACACGUGGAUAACCUACCUAUAAGACUGGGAUAACUUCGGGAAACCGGAGCUAAUACCGGAUAAUAUAUUGAACCGCAUGGUUCAAUAGUGAAAGACGGUUUUGCUGUCACUUAUAGAUGGAUCCGCGCCGCAUUAGCUAGUUGGUAAGGUAACGGCUUACCAAGGCGACGAUGCGUAGCCGACCUGAGAGGGUGAUCGGCCACACUGGAACUGAGACACGGUCCAGACUCCUACGGGAGGCAGCAGUAGGGAAUCUUCCGCCCUGGGCGCCCGCCUGCCGGCGCCCCGCCGCGUGAGUGAUGAAGGUCUUCGGAUCGUAAAACUCUGUUAUUAGGGAAGAACAAAUGUGUCAGUAACUCUGCCCGUCUUGACGGUACCUCAUCAGAAAGCCACGGCUCACUACGUG
rnacentral:rRNA from 1 species